GUGAAUGAUGGAAACGAAUGUGCUUUCUUAACUCAUAUGGGCAAAGAUUCCAACUCCACUCAUAACUUUUCUCAGCGGUGUCAUGAUAAUCUAAAAAAUAGUUUGACUCACAUUGACAAGUCAAUGGUGAAAGUGUGUGCAAAAAAGGUUGCAGAUGCAAGGCUAAGGCUUAAAGUUACAAUUGAUUGCAUCAAGUAA
rnacentral:rRNA from 1 species